rnacentral:misc_RNA from 1 species
UUCAUGAAAUACAAUGCACCCUAUAUAAUUGGAUAUAUAGUUUCAAUUGGCUUUGCAUUUCUUGCUGGACAGCUUUAUAUAUACUCAUCCUCAGGUUAUGUUCCAUCUUUUUAUCAGAUAUUUGGUCAUUAUCCAACCUACGUCACUCUUGUUGCAGUUCCUACAUUUAUAUUUCAUUUAAUUUGGAUUCCAGAUUUGUCAAUUAUAUAUAUUCCUCCUAUAGACAUAAUUGGACAAAAGGAUAUUACUCUUCUACACACAUUGCUGUUGAGGACAUUUUUAUAUUUAAUUUCAUGUGGAUCAGUCAUCAUUCUUUACACUGCUAUAAAUUUGUUUCUGAGUUUUACCUGUAAAAUUUGGAUAAUGAUUAAAAGAAAUACAUUAAUGGAAAUAUCAGAAGUACGUCUUGAACUAGAAAGAAAAAUCAGAAUAGGCGUCACAAAACCACUGAUGGUUUGGUGUGCUAUGGUUGCUGCCACUUCAAUAGGACUUUCUGGUUCAAUAGGAAUUCAACUCACAUGUUUAUUCUAUCUUUAUAAGUUAGUAUGUUUCCGUAUGCGAUGCAUUGCGGAAGAAGAUCGUAGAGGUCCAAGUACUUCGACAACUGUGUGGUACUUCCACUUCACCAUCUUCUUUCUUCUACUACUCUUCUUGGGCCUCACUUUCCCAAGUUUUGUAAUGUGGUUAAAAAGUAACCAGUUUACUCUCAGAACUCCUAAUGACAUAAACGGACUUCAGUGCAUUAUAGUAAUAGUGACUUCUCACUAUUUCUGGGAGUUACCCACGCCUUGUUUCUAUAGGAAAUUGAGUCUGCAUAUGAAUGAAAGACAGAUAUAGAUAGUCAAGCUUUAUUUUACUCCCUGUUAGCUGAGAUUGUGGUGUUGAUGCAAUUGAUACUUUGGUAAAAACAUAUCAGAGCUUCAUUGGUAUCGGGCUAACCAUGAGAGGUUCAAGAUUAAGAAAUUGAAAAUAAAAAAAGUUGAUUUACUGAGUGGAUUGGUGUUCAAUGGCAGAAAUUCUUG